AGGAACUCGUCAGCAUAGGCUUGGCUGCGCUGAUCCACUGAAUCAAUAAGGAAGGGCCCCGCGGGGUUUGCAGACGGCAGGUAGGAGGAGAAGGAGGGGACAGGAACGGAGGCAGCGGAACAUCCAUCAGGAGCAGGACACCGGGCCAGGACUAUGAACUACUAUCAAAGACAGUGGUGUCUGAGCAAAGCCACAGAGAGACUACUUCCGGAAACUAAGAGCGAGUACGGAAACGCAUGUGGGACAAACG